rnacentral:rRNA from 1 species
UACGUAGGGUGCAAGCGUUGUCCGGAAUUAUUGGGCGUAAAGAGCUCGUAGGCGGUCUGUUGCGUCGGCUGUGAAAACCCGGGGCUCAACCCCGGGCCUGCAGCCGAUACGGGCAGACUAGAGUGUGGUAGGGGAGACUGGAAUUCCUGGUGUAGCGGUGAAAUGCGCAGAUAUCAGGAGGAACACCGAUGGCGAAGGCAGGUCUCUGGGCCACUACUGACGCUGAGGUGCGAAAGCGUGGGGAGCAAACAGG